CCCCUCUCAGGGUCGUACCUGGAGAGUUUCUAGUCCUCUACCAGUCUUGGCUACGGGAGGGAAAGUCAAGCAGAGGCCUAUCCAUUCCAUUCUUAGCUUGAGCAGUGGAUAGCGAGUGGACGACAAUCUGCUACAAGU